AGAAAUAAGCUAUUUCCAGUUAGUCGGCAAAAUUAAGCAUUGUUGACAAAAUGUAAAUUGUUUGUUUUGUUUGUUUUUCAUUCAAAUCAAUUACUCAAACUCCACCAUCUUUUUUCUGAGAUUUGAUUUCAUUUUCAUUUUCAAGUUGUGUUUCUAUUUCGGCAUUCAAAUGUUUAUCCUAUCAAGGAGUUGGUUUAGUGUGGAUUUAGCAUGGAAAUACGAUCACAGAUAGACUUCUUUUUUAUUUUGUUUUAAACCUUUUGUUCAAUUUUCACAGAUGAUGCUGGAUGUUUCUUUUUAUCUGUGGACUGUUCAAAUCAAACGAAAUCAUCUGUUAGCAAUGUCAAAAUAAACCCCAAAAGGCAGCCUAAACAUAAUCGUGACUGUUGACAGCUUUUCUCGAAGGGAUACAAAGAGGCCACUAGAAAAUAGGAUAAAAGAUAAUAGGAACAAAUGGACACUGAACUCACUGGAGGAAGUUUUUUUCAUUACUUCAUCAUGACAGUAACACCAGGAAAAUAAAGAAUUUUAAUAAAAUUUGAAGUAACCCGAAAAAGAUAAUUUCCUGUUGAUUGUAUGAACAAGAAAAAAAUCUUGUGAGCUGGUCAAUUUCAAUGGUCUUCAUUGUAAAUUAUUAAAGGCAAUAUGACAGCAUACCUGGUUGUGUACUGGCUGCAGGAGCGGGUGACAAUGAAUUGAGUGCAGGGAAUAAUGUCGACAAUAGUUGAGUUAACGACUCAGGAGCCAAAGAUGGAGAGCCAAGUGCGGACAAAUCUGGUGA